rnacentral:rRNA from 1 species
CAACCCGAUCCCAUCCCGAACUCGGCCGUUAAACUCUUCAGCGCCAAUGGUACUAUGGCUUAAGCCCUGGGAGAGUAGGUCGCUGCCAGGC